UUUUUGUUUUUUUGUUUUUUUGGCUACGCCCACAGCGUACAGAAGUGCCCAGACCAGAGAUCAAACCUGCACCACAGCAGUGACAAUGCCGAAUCCUUAGCUGCUGGGCCGCUAGGGAACUGCUGAUGAGCUUCUGGGGACGGCACAGGCAUUAGAGAGGUGGUGAGGAACAGAUGCAGGGCAGCUGCUACAGACCCAGCAAGUACCUCCUUGGGACGCCUUUGGCAGGUGGUUGUGAAGGACAAUUUGCUGGAGUCCUUUCCGUUCUCCCGUGAUGAUGCUGGUGGUUUCGGUGAGACUGUCCACAGGCCUGGUUACCUCCCGGAGCAAAGUGUGAAAGAUGCAGGAGUUUCAGAAACUUCCUGCGUGGCCCACAUGGCGGCAGCUCUUGGGCAGACCAUGCAAAGUCCAUCCUAGCAGUGGCUAAAUCCUCUAGGUUUACUCCCCAUCACCGGGCUUCACGUUUCAGGGCCUCUUCUGAGUGAGGUGAGAUGGGAGAGUCAGAGCUUCCUUUAGAAGUGGGCAUCGUAUACCUGAGUCUUUGACUGUAACACCUUGUGGUGCUUGUAGAUCGCUUAGGUGGGUUGGGACCCAAACAGUCAGAGGUAACAGAAAAAUUAAGAUGAAAGAUGAGUCCAGUCUGGUUAAAGAUUAGGUAAGGGCUGAUGAGACCCUAGGUAGCAGGGUCCAGUGCAAUGAGCUGAUGGAUACCAAGAGGCCUGGUUUCAGCAGACUAAGUAUUAGCCAAGUAAGUAAAGAAAAUAUCUACUGAAUCAUCCUCUAGUCUGUCUGACUGCAGGCUGGGGUUCUGCUAUUUUCAUGGAUGGGUCUGGGGAUGUGGAUCUUGAGAUAAGAAGCAUCCAAUUGUAAGUGAGUCUAGGAAGGGGGGGGAGGUCUGCCACUCUUUGAGAAGAAAACUUUGGAUCUGUGCCAGGAUUAUGUCUUUGGCAGAUGGGACAAGGGGAUACCACUUGUUCCAGGUGAGAGUGACGGUGGCCGAGGUGCUUUAGCUUGUCUCUCCCAUUAGGAGUAGUCUCGUGAAGACUGAGGAUCAGAGGAGUGACUGAGCAGAGAGCGAGUGGCCUUCGGGGCAUCUCCAAGGUCUGCCAGGCUGGAUUUAAAAGUCCGCCAUGUUUCCAACGGGCUUUUUCAUCUUCAGGGGCCUUGAACUGAGAUAUUUUUAUUUCCUCAGUUAUGAGAUCAAGUGGUGAACUGAAUAUAUUUAGCAUCUUGUCUGAUGGUGAUGGGAUUGGGACAGACUUACAAACGGCUGCUUUAGCAUAUUUAUCAGCUAAUGAGUUUCCUUUUGCCUCAGGGACCUUAAUGCCCAUAUAAGCUUCAAUUUUGAGUAUGGCCUCCUCUUACUGUAAUAACAAGGCAUCUAGGAGCUCAGCCACCUGCUCCUUAUUUCAGUUGGCAUUGCAGCUGUAGUCAUAAAUCUCUUGGCUCUUUGUAACACAUCAAAGUCAUGUAAUACACCCCAACAUCUGCUGUCCCUGUGGAUGUUAGCCCUCUCAUCCUUAGCUGAGAGCCACGCAUUCUUCUAUCUGAGCUGAUUUUUGUACUGGGGAGAGGCUCAUAUUAUAUGGAGUUGGGGAAUCUGUCAUGGCUUAUCCUAACUGCAAGUCUCCUUCUGAGAUGCAGAGGCAUGACCCAUUCUACAAGAACCAAUCGGUCCCAGAAGGCCAGGAAUUGUCUCAAUAUUUUUGGUAAAGGGUAAUUAAGGAUCGUCUUGAUACAUCUGUGGACACGGUUUUUUUUGUUUUUUGUUUUUUUUCCUUAGGAGAGAUAUAUCCUAAAUAAUGAAACCAAGGACAACAAAACUGUCCCCUUGAAACCUCUGUCCCUUUUGAGCCAGAUCUUCCAAUAGGAAUUGGGUAUCAGUCAAUGAAUUAGCAACUGUACAGGAGCAGAGAAGGAGGCCAUCUGCACAGUGAAAGAGGUUCAGUUACGAGGAGAAAACAAAUUCUUUAAAUUUGCACCUACUGUCUGGGGGAAAGAGGCUGGAAACCCUUCAGGCAUGACAACCCAGAUGCGCUGCCGAUUUAGACGCAUAUCCUUGCCCACCCUGGUACACGGUUUCCCCUAUUCUUAGCAUCUUGUAUUAAUGUUCUACAUUUGCUGCAAUUAGGGGACUGAUGUUGACAUAUUAUUGUGAACCAAAGCCCAUAGCUGAAAGUUCACUCUUUGUAUUCGUACAGUUGUAAGGGCUUUGACAAAUACAUAAUGAUAUGUAUCCGGCAUUACAGUGACACAGAGAAUAGUUCCACUGUGCUUUCUUUAUUCAUUCUGCCACUACCGCCAACAGCAGGUCUUUUCACUGUCUCUGCAGUUUUGUCUUUUCCAGAACGUCACUUGCUAUCCAAAGCGAUCAUCAGAUUGAACACAUUCCUUUUCAAAACACCCAUGACAUUUUUCACAGAACUGGAACAAACAAUUCUAAAAUGUAUAUGGAGCCACAAAAGACCCCAAACUGCCAAAGCAAUCCUGAGCAAAAAACAAAGCUGGUGGCAUAACCCUCCCAGACUUCAGACAACACUAUGAAGCUAGAGUAAUCGAAAUAGCAGAGUUCCGGCACAAAAAUGGAUAUAUAGAUCAAUGGAACAGAAUAGAGAGUCCAGAAAUAAAACCACACACCUACAGUCAAUUCAUCUACGACAAAGGAGGCAAGUAUAUGCAAUGGGAAAAAGAAAAAGACAGUCUCUUCAGCGAGUGGCGUUGGGAAAGCUGGACGGCGCCACGUAAAUCCAUGAAACUAGAAAACUCCCUCAUGCCAAAUACAAAAAUAAACUCAAGGACUUUGUCCUUGCCACAGUGGGUUAGAAUCCUGAUACAGUGGGUUAGAAUCCAACUGCAGAGGCUCAGGUCCCUGAGGAGGUGAGGGUUUGUUCCUGGCCCAGCACGGUGGGUUAAAGGAUUAGGUGUUGCUGCAGCUGUGGUGUAGGUCACAGCUAUGGCUUGGAUUCCACCGCUGGCAUGGGAACUUCCAUAUGCCACGGAUGUGGCUAUGAAAAUAAAUAAAUUCAAAAUGGUUUAAAGACCUAAAUCUAAGACAUGACACCGUAAAACUCCUAGAAGAGGUCACAGGCAAAACAGUCUCAGACAUAAAUUGUAGCAGUAUUUUCUUAGAUCUGUCUCCCAAGGCAAAAGAAAUAAAAACAAAAAUAAAUAAAUGGGACCUAAACAAACUUAAAAGCUUUCAUAUAGCAAAAGAAACCAUAAACAAAAUGAAAAGACAACCUAUUGAACGGGAGAAAAUACUUGCAAAUGAUGUGACUGCCAAGGGGUUAAUAUUCAAAAUACACAAAUCAUAUCUCUCAAUAUCAAAAAACAAACAACCCAAUCAAAAAUCGGCAGGAAACCUAAACAGACAUUUCUCCAAAGAUGACACACAUAUGGUCAAUGGGCACAGGAGAAGAUGCUCAACAUUACUAAUUAUAAGAGAAAUGCAAAUCAAAACCACAAUGAAGUAUGGCAAACCGGUCAAAUGGCCAUCAUCAAAAAGUCUACACAGAAUGGGAGUUCCCACUGUGGCUCAGGGGGUUAAGAAUCCGACUAGUAUCCAUGAGGAUGGGGGUUCGAUCCCUGGUCUUGCUCAGUGGGUUAAGGAUCCGGCGUUAGGUGAACUGUGGCCUAGGUCACAGAUAAGGCUCGGAUCUGGCGUUGCUGUGGCUGAGAUAUAGGCUGGUAGCUAUGGCUCCAAUUUGACCCCUAGCCUGGGAACUUCCAUAUGCUACAGUGUGGCCCUGAAAAGCAGAAAAACAGUCUACACAUAAUAAAUGCUGGAGAGGGUGUGGAGAAAAGGGAACCUUGAACACUGUUGGUAGGGAUGUAAAUUGGUGCAGCCACUAUGGAAAACAGUAUGGAGGUUCCUUAAAAAACUAAAAUGAUCCAACAAUCCCACUCCUGAGUAUGUUCCCAGAAAAAAAAAGAAAAUGCUAAUUCAAAAGUGUUCAUAGCCAGGACAUGGAAACAACUCAAAUGCCCGUCAAUAGAUGAUUAACUUAAGAAGAUGUAAUAAACACACACACACACACAAUGGAAUACUACUCAUCCAUAAAAAGGAAUGAAAUACUGCCAUAUGCAGCAACAUGGAUGGACCUAGAGAAUAUUAUACUUAGUGAAAUAAGUCAGAGAAAGCCAAAUGCUAAGUGAUAUCACUCAUAUGUGUAAUCUAAAAAAAUAAUAUAUACACAACAGAAAGAGAGUCACAUUCAAAGAAAAGAAACUUAAUGGUUACCAUAGGGAAAAGCGGAGUGAUAAAUUAGGAGUCUGGGAUCAAGAGAUACAAACUACUCUGUGUAAAAUAGAUAAGCAACAGGAUUUACUGUGUAACACAGGAACUAUGUUCAAAAUUUUGUAAUAACCUAUAAUAGAGAAUAAUCUGAAAAAAAUAACUGUAUCACUGCUGUACACCUAAAACUAACACAACAUUGUCAAUCAACUAUACUUCAAUUUUAUUUUUUUACUGCUAUUUUUUAAUUUUUAUUUAUUUAUUUUUUUGUCUUUUUUCCUAUUUCUUUGGGCCACUCCCAGGGCAUACGGAGGUUCUCAGGCUAGGGGUCGAAUCGGAGCUGUAGCCCCUGGCCUACUCCAGAGCCACAGCAACACAGGAUCUGAGCCGUGUCUGCAACCUACACCACAGCUCAUGGCAACGCCGGAGCGUCAACCCACUGAGCAGGGGCAGGGACCAAACCCGAAACCUCAUGGUUCCUAGUCGGAUUCGUUAACCACUGCGCCAUGACAGGAACUCCUAUUUUUUUAAAAUGAUUUUUAUUUUUUCCAUUAUAGUUGGUUUACAGUGUUCUGUCAAUUUCUACUGAACAACAAAGUGACCCAGUCACGUGUGUGUGUGUGUGUGUGUGUGUGUGUAUAUAUACAUAUAUAUAUAUAUACACACACAUUCUUUUUCUCACAUUAUCCUCCAUCAUGUUCCAUCGUAAGUGACUAGAUAUAGUUCCCUGUGCUGUGCAUCAAUUUUAAAAAGGGAACGAGUUCUGAGGCCCUUCCUCCAUCGUGGGGAAGAAGAGAAAGCUAUGUGUCUUCUGAAUUUGGAGGAAAACUCUGAUAUAGAAGCUCCUGCUUGCUGUUGGUCUAGAGAUUCGAAUGAAGGAAUCUUGCUGGAGAUUUUUGAGUGAGACACCAGUCAUGAGUUCUAAGAAGGCCUGAAGUUCCCAUUGUGGCUCAGCGGAAACAAAUCUGACUAGGAUCCAUGAGGACACAGGUUCAAUCCCUGGCCUUGCUCAGUGGAUUAAGGAUCUGGUGUUGCCAUGAGCUGUGGUGUAGGUCACAGACACAGCGUGGAUCUGGUGUCGGCCAGCAACUGCAGCUCCGAUUCAACCCCUAGCCUGGGAAUUUCCAUAUGCUUCAGGUUUGGCCCCCCCCAAAAAAACAAAAAAAACCCCAAACUACAUGCACCCCUAUGUUCAUUGCAGCACUAUUCACAAUAGCCAAGACACGGAAACAACCUAAAUGUCCAUCGACAAACGAAAGGAUUAAGAAGGUGUGGUACAUAUACACAAUGAAAUACUACUCAGCCAUAAAAAAGAACCAAAUAAUGCCAUUUGUAGCAACAUGGAUGGAACUAGAAACUACCAUACUAAGUGAAGUAAGUCAGAAAAAGAGAGACAAACACCAUAUGCUAUCACUUAUAUCUGGAAUCUAAUAUAUGGCACAAAUGAACCUUUCCACGGAAAAGAAACUCAUGGACUUGGAGAACAGACUUGUGGUUGCCAAGGGGGAGGGGGGCGGGAGUGGGGUGGACUGGAAAUCUGGGGCUAAUAGAUGCUAACUAUUGCCUUUGGAAUGGAUAAGCAAUGAGAUCCUGCUGUACAGCACCGGGAAGUAUAACUAGUCACUUCUGAUGGAGGAUAAUGUGAGAAAAAGAAUGUAUAUAUGUGUGUGCAACUAGGUCACUUUGGCAGAAUAUUGUAAAUCAACUAUAAUAAUUUCUUAAAAAAAAAAAAGUAGUAUAGCCUAUGCCAAAAAAAGUGGAAAAAACCAAAACCAAACCAAACCAAACCAAAGGAAUCUGGGGGGGACUGGUACAGCAGGUGUCCUUAGAGAGGCUGAGGAGAGCAAGAGACGGGGAGACAGGCCCUGAAUGGAACAUGCUGAUGGGGCACAGCCUAGGUGCUCAGCCUAGGGUGCUGGGCCCCAAAAGCCCGUUUCAGGAACGUCCAAUGGAAGCUUCGCGACUGGACCUAAAGGGGAAUUCCAGACUCCCCCUUCUUGGCUGCCGAGUCUGGACAACAAACUCAUCUGCUUCACCUUGUGGGCAUUUUCUCAUCCUUGCCCUCAGGAUGCCCUACACCUCUGCCAAGACGGCGACUCACUCUUCGCUGAAAACUCCCUCACCCUUCCAAUCUUUCCACCUCCCUCGUCUCUGCUGCCUGUUGCCACCGUACUCGUUUAUUCACGGAAACUGGGUGGGUGUGCCGUCUGGGGUCCAGCCGCCGCCGUCUGGAGGCUGCUGCUGCGCUCCUGGCGGGGAGUGGAACUGGCAGCAGGGAGGGGCUGCCAAGGGCAGGAGGGUAGGGGUGGGGCGCAUAUAGCGAAGCUUAAAGCUUCGGUGAGAAACCCCCGCGUACAGAGAGUAGCCGAUAGGGAUCUGCGCGUCUGAAGUCGGUGGGAGGUGGGGACCCUGGAGCCUGAUACCACAGGGUCAUUGAUCUGGGUGUGGCUUCCUCGGGGGCUGAGCCUCAGAGCCCCAUAAAUUGCUUAUUUCCCCCUCGGUCCCCCUAGGUCCAAGUCCAGGCAAGACGGGCAAGUACUCGAUCCGUGCAGCCACCGGGGACUCGCUCCCGGCGGACUCCAGCAACAGGUACAGCUGUGGCUGGUGGGCGAGCCCGGAAAGCGGACCUGGGGAAGCAGCUGAGGUCGCUGCGAGUCAAGGUCAGUGUCGCGGCACUGGGGGCUCGGAUGCGGGACCCUGGGGCGUCGGCAGGGAAGGACGUCG
rnacentral:lncRNA from 1 species